GUUUCCACUAGAACGAUUUCCUUUCCCCACACGGCAAUUCAGAUUUCCCCUUCUACGGACUUUUUUCCCCUCAAAAAUUAUUUUGCUGUAGUUUUGACACCACACGCCACACCUAAAAUUUAUAGUUUAUUUAUCGUUCUUCUUCUAUAGUCUAUUGUAUUAAUAUUAUUAUUUACACAAAAUUCGUCAACAAAAUCAUCGACAGUCGACUUUGCAGAUUACUACUAUUAUUUUGAUAUAGCUGCACAUCACUAGCUAUCAAUUUCCUUACUGUUGGUACUACUUGUUCUAUGGUGGUUGGUACGGUGAUCCAUUCAAAUAAAUAAUCACAGCUAGAAAUAUUUAUUGCGACGGUUGUUUAAUGUGAAAAGAAAUGGAUCGGUGGCUAAUAAAUACUGCUGCUAAAAAAUCGAAUGAAGAAAAGAUUCCUCUGAGCUCAUCCGAAAGACCCGGCACUAGUACAUGCUCUUAUGAACUUCAACCCGGAACGAGUUUUCAGUCCAUUAGUUAUGUCGAGGAUCAGAAAGAACAAUUAGAUCCUCAAACUUCGUCAGUAAUGGAAAUCGAAAAUGAAAAAUCGGUUGAUAACUGUACUGAAGACGAAGAAGAGGGAUACAAUACUGAAAAUGAAAAAAAGCAGUUCAAGCAGAUUGGUAGUUCAAAAUCUAUGGCAAAAGGUAGGAAAAAGAUAUUUAAGAAGAAGUUUCAGCAUGAUUGGCUUAAGCAACCUGAGUUCAAAGCAUGGUUAUUAAAUGGGAAUAAGGAUGAUAAUGCAAUUUGUAAGGUGUGCAAUGUGGUUAUGAAGGCGGGAAAAUCAGAGCUUAAAAAGCAUGGUGAUGGAAAAGCUCAUAAAAAAAAUAUGGAGGCGUGGCUACAGAGUAAUAUUAAUCAACCUAGUAUUACAACAUUCGUUACAGAAAAUACAAAGCUGAAAAAUACCGAAGCUGCCAUUUGUUCUUAUAUCGUCGAAAACAAUCUUCCUAUUUCAUCAAUUGAACCUUUAAUUGAAUUGAUUAAAUCUUUACCAGAGAAGGCAAUCACAUCGCAAAUCUCUUUAGCGAAACAAAAAGCCACUAAUGUCAUUAGGAAUGGAUUGCGCCCAUUUUUUAAUAAUAAACUUAUUAAUGAACUGAACAAUCAUUUGUUUUCCGUUUAUAUUGACGAAACAACUGAUGUAAGCGUCACAAAGCAACUAGCGAUACUAGUCAGCUACUGCCAUAAUUUUAUAACAAAAGUAGAUGUGAUCGACGUAGUAGAUUGCCCUGACGGGACCGCUGUGGGUUUGUACACACAAAUGAUUAACACGCUAAAAGAAAAUAAUGUACCUCUGCAAAACUGGAUAGGCUUUUGUUCUGAUACAACUGCAGUCAUGAUGGGACAGCAUAACUCUGUGUCUCAACUAAUCAAACUAAAUUAUCCUCAAGUAUUCGUGUCAAAAUGCUCUUGCCAUAUGAUACAUCUGGUGGCAAGUAAGGCAUGCACUAAGUUAAGCAACUCUUUAGAAGAUUUGUGCCGCAAUGUAUACAAUCAUUUUGGGAGGAGUCCUAAAAAUUCUGCUGCUUUCAAAGAAUUUCAAAGCUUCCAUGAAGUCAAACCUCACAAGAUUUUGAGAGCUUGUCAAACCAGGUGGUUGUCACUUCAAGCAUGCGUGCGAAGAAUUUUAGAACAGUGGGAGCCAUUGAAGAGUUACUGGAGAAUAUUAAACUACGAAGAUCCAACACAUGCAAACUGUCACACUCUCCAAACCUUGGAGAACCCUUUGAUAAAGAGCCAAAUGCAUUUUGUAGACUACGCUCUUGGAAUUUUUAAUGAUUUUAAUUGCAUGUUUCAAGCUGAUUAUCCUAAGUUCUCAGAAUUGAAGACUCAAACUGAGGAGUUAAUCAAAACAUUGGCAUUAAAUUUCAUGAACAGAAAUUAUGUUAAGCAAAUCCCUGCUAACCAAAUCAAUCCUCAUCAGACAGAAGAACAUCUUGAAUUAAAACAUAUUUAUUUAGGUGUAGAUGCGAUCUGUUUAUUAACAGAGAUCGAAAAGAAAGAAGAGAGUGAAAUUCAGAAAAUUUUUCAGUCAGCAAAAUUGUUUUAUAUUGAAGCGAUCGUACAAAUCAAGAAACGAUUUGUAUUUGAAGAUGUGCACAAUGAUUCGUCUUUUUUAAACCCGAAAAAUGCCAUUGAUUUGCACCCUACAUCAUUGUACAAAAUCGCGAAAAAAUACAUUCCAUCGCACAUUGCUGUAGAUUUAACAGAGCUGGACAAGGAAUGGAGAAAUCAAAGUCUCCUGUCCGAUAUGGAUUGUAAUGAUUCCAUAGAUACGGUAAGCUAUUGGAAAAAAAUUUUUGAAAAAAAAAAUGUUGACAGCAGAUGUAAAUUCGUUCAACUGCCAAUUUUAGUGAACUAUUUCAUGUCGUUGCCUUUUUCGAAUGCUGCUGUUGAACGAUUAUUUAGUGAUCUAAAAAAUAUCAAAACAGAUAAACGCAAUAGGCUCGAUAAUGAAACGGUUGCAUCAAUCCUCUGUGUAAAAUCUGGCUUGAAAAGAACGGGAACAACUUCUGUACAACUAAUGAAAAAUCAGUUAGAAAUACCACACCUCAAGUUUGUACAGUCUAAUGCAAGUGCAAGCGAAUCUAAAAAAAUUAGACUUAGCAUGAAUAAAAUAUAACUAAACGAUUUGUGUUUUAUUUACAGACUGACCAGAAAUAUAAUAAAAACUUGGAGUUGUGUACUCAUUUUUUAUUCCAAAUUAGUUUACGCUGUCAGCGCAUACAUUUUUGCACAGAAUAAUAUUUUAGGCCUCAAACAGAAUUGAAAUAAGGGUAAGUAUACGCCACCUGCUCGUGUUGUCGCUUGUCGCAGUUCCUUUCAUACGGUAACACACUAGUCCACGGUAGAGUCCAUAAAUAAUAAAAGAUUUCGUGUAUGAAAAAUCCGCUAGAUGGCAAUACGCAGGCGUGACUUGUGAGGUCCGUCCGAGUGCUGCAUGAUUGGAUAUUUUUGGCAUAGCAUUGAUAGAUACUGUCAAAAUUCACCAAUCGUAGCAGCUAGAGCCAUCAUUUAUCAUACGCGAAAACCCUCAUUACUUCCGAAAGGAUUUAUCUACGAUUUCCCGCAAUUUCCCCUUUUAUAGUCUUUCCCCUUUUCUUUCCCCUCUUGACCCUAAUUUCCCCUCAAAAGGGGAAUUUCCCCUCAAUGUGGAAACACUGA